rnacentral:rRNA from 1 species
GUAGUCAUAUGCUUGUCUCAAAGAUUAAGCCAUGCAUGUCUCAGUGCAAGCCGUCUAGUACGGUGAAACCGCGAAAGGCUCAUUAAAUCAGUUAUGGUUCCUUAGAUCGUACCCACGUUACUUGGAUAACUGUGGUAAUUCUAGAGCUAAUACAUGCCGACAGAGUUCCGACCAACUGUACAGAUGUGCGACGGCCUCGGUCGUAGUCGCUGUACGGUACGGAAGGAACGCUUUUAUUAGAUCAAAACCGGCCAGACGGCGUAGCGCGUCUACGUCGUAAGCGGCCCGCGCAAAGACUUGGUGACUCUGAAUAACUUCGAGCUGAUCGCACGGUCCUCGUACCGGCGACGUAUCUUUCAAAUGUCUGCCUUAUCAACUGUCGACGGUAGGUUCGACGCCUACCGUGGUGGUAACGGGUAACGGGGAAUCAGGGUUCGAUUCCGGAGAGGGAGCCUGAGAAACGGCUACCACAUCCAAGGAAGGCAGCAGGCGCGCAAAUUACCCACUCCCAGCUCGGGGAGGUAGUGACGAAAAAUAACGAUACGGGACUCAUUAGAGGCCCCGUAAUCGGAAUGAGUACACUUUAAAACCUUGGUCACACGAGGAUCAAUUGGAGGGCAAGUCUGGUGCCAGCAGCCGCGGUAAUUCCAGCUCCAAUAGCGUAUAUUAAAGUUGUUGCGGUUAAAAAGCUCGUAGUCGGAUCUGUGUCCUCGCGACGUCGGACCACCGAGUGCCUGUCGGAUUAUAUCCGCGGGCCAGGUGAUUGUUCCCGGCGUGUCAGCGGGACGUCCCGCCGGCAGGCGGACACGCGUCGUUUGCCGUCCAGCCUCGUGCUCGGACGCUUCGAAGAGCGGCCGCCGUCAAAAUCCUGUUCGUGCGCGGACUCGUUCCGCGUACGGCGGGCCGGCACGUUUACUUUGAACAAAUUAGAGUGCUCAAAGCAGGCUGGAAAGUGGCGAGGCGUUCACGCGUCUCGUCGUGUUAGCCCUGAAUAUGGUCGCAUGGAAUAAUGGAACAAGACCUCGGUCCCGCCUCUACGCUGCUUGCAGCGCGUGAAGUCGCCCUCGUGGCGCUUCCGUGCGCGGGUUGCCGGUCGGGGCCCCGCAUUCGCGUCCGUUUACUCCGUUCAUCGUUCCGGUAGCCUUUCGGGGCGUCGGACGGUGCGGUUGCGGGUUACGCAAUGCCCGUGGUCAACCCCGAUCGUUGGUCGGUUUUCGGGACCGGAGGUAAUGAUCAACAGAGACAGGCGUGGGCAUUCGUACCGCGACGUUAGAGGUGAAAUUCUUGGAUCGUCGCGGGACGAACCGAAGCGAAAGCAUUUGCCAAGUAUGUUCUCGUCUGAUCAAGAACGAAAGUUCGAGGUUCGAAGGCGAUCAGAUACCGCCCUAGUUCUAACCGUAAACGAUGCCAGCUAGCGAUCCGCCGGCGUUCCUCCGAUGACCCGGCGGGCAGCUUCCGGGAAACCGAAGCUUUUCGGUUCCGGGGGAAGUAUGGUUGCAAAGCUGAAACUUAAAGGAAUUGACGGAAGGGCACCACCAGGAGUGGAGCCUGCGGCUUAAUUUGACUCAACACGGGAAACCUCACCAGGCCCGGACACCGGAAAGAUUGACAGAUUGAGAGCUCUUUCUUGAUUCGGUGGGUGGUGGUGCAUGGCCGUUCUUAGUUGGUGGAGCGAUCUGUCUGGUUAAUUCCGAUAACGAACGAGACUCUGUCCUGCUAACUAGGCGGGUUUCUCGCCACCCGCGGAUGCGUACGGCGGUUCGCGCCGACGUGCGCGCCGCGGUCAACGGCGAAACGGUAUCCCCGAAUGCGGUUGGUUGUCGGUAGCGGCGUUCGUUUGUCGGCGGCGCUGUUCGCUGCGUUCGUUUUGCUCUCGGGUGAGGCGACGCGGUGGGCGGCUCGUCGGCGGCGUUCGUUGCCCGGCGACUGUAGGCCGCUAUUAGGGCUACCGCCGGCUGAUAAAGCUUAAACUCUUCUUAGAGGGACAGGCGGCGGACAACACUAGCCGCACGAGACUGAGCGAUAACAGGUCUGUGAUGCCCUUAGAUGUUCUGGGCCGCACGCGCGCUACACUGAAGGAAUCAGCGUGUAAUUAUGUCCCGGACCGAGAGGUUUUUCCGGGUAACCCGCUGAACCUCCUUCGUGCUAGGGAUCGGGGCUUGCAAUUGUUCCCCGUGAACGAGGAAUUCCCAGUAAGCGCGAGUCAUCAGCUCGCGUUGAUUACGUCCCUGCCCUUUGUACACACCGCCCGUCGCUACUACCGAUUGAACGACCGCAGUGAGGUCUUCGGACCGAGGUACGGCGGCGUUCGCGCCGAUUUGUACAUUCGGGAAGAUGACCGAACUCGGCCGUUUAGAGGAAGUAAAAGUCGUAACAAGGUUUCCGUAGGUGAACCUGCGGA